rnacentral:rRNA from 1 species
UACAGAGGAUGCAAGCGUUAUCCGGAAUGAUUGGGCGUAAAGCGUCCGCAGGUGGUUUUGUAAGUCUGCUGUUAAAGCGUUAGGCUCAACCUAAUAAGGGCAGUGGAAACUAUGAGACUAGAGUAUGUUAGGGGUAGAGGGAAUUCCCAGUGUAGCGGUGAAAUGCGUAGAGAUUGGGAAGAACACCGGUGGCGAAAGCGCUCUGCUAGGCCGCAACUGACACUGAGGGACGAAGGCUAGGGGAGCGAAUGGG